rnacentral:lncRNA from 1 species
UGAACCAUGUCGUCUUUAUCUCCUGUCCUCCAACUAGCCUAUAUAAUCUGAAGAGAAAAGAAACACUGUAAAACAAGGAAAUUACAGUUUAGAAGAAGGUUUAAAGGAAAAGUGUUGCAAUAUAUAUAUAUAUAUAUAUAUAUAUAUAUAUAUAUAUAUAUAUAUAUAUAUAUAUAUAUAUAUAUAUAUAUCAGAGAAAUGCAAGCGAGUCCGAUGUUGUCCCUGCAGUCUUCGAGUUUCACUCUUUAUAAUUCCAACACAAAUCUCACCGAAAUUGCUGCUAGAGUUUCAAAGAAUUCAACGCUGAAGAUGAAACAGAUUCCGAAUUUUUCUUCAGUGAUAAUAAUGAGACAUUCAGCUGUGCAGUACAGAUUUUGAAUGAGAAAGCUGAACUGGAAAAACAACAAAACGAAGAGAACGGUGAUGAUGAUUUUGAGUUUGCUUUUAUUAAUACAGAAUCUGAAUUUUCACCUAUUUCUGCUGAUGAAAUCUUCUACAACGGUCAGAUCCGUCCAAUUUUCAACACAGAUUUAUGCUCACGCGAUGUUCAAUUCAAGGUUUGGGCUCCGACGGCGUCAAUUCGACUUCCGUUAAGGAAGCUUUUCAUCGCGGAGCGUGAAACUACGCCGUCUUGUUCGUCGUCGGAAGCCGACGACUUAGAAAGCAUUCCUCCGGGAACUUACUGCGUGUGGAGGCCGAGAGCGGCGGAAGAUACUCUAACUGAACAAUGUAAGAAGAGCAAAUCCACCGGCUCCUCCUCUAAGCGGUGGAAGUUAAGAGACUUUCUUCACCGGAGUAACAGCGACGGUAAAGAUACUUUCGUGUUUUUGACGACUGCGUUUAAUAAGAAGAGAGGAGAAAGCAGAGAGUACGACGGCGGUUGACUCUGCUAAAAUCGCAGGAAAAGUUGCCGGGAUUCCCGUCGGUAAUGGUUUUCCGGCAGUGCGUUGCCCGAAGAUCGGAGGUGAUAUUAAACGGAAGUCGUACUUGCCGUACAGGCAAGAUUUGGUAGGGUUUUGUGGUAAGGUGAAUGGGUAGAAUCGGAGUUCACC